rnacentral:rRNA from 1 species
AGUGAACGCUGGCGGUAGGCCUAACACAUGCCAGUCGAACGGCAGCACAGUAAGAGCUUGCUCUUACGGGUGGCGAGUGGCGGACGGGUGAGGAAUACAUCGGAAUCUACUUUUUCGUGGGGGAUAACGUAGGGAAACUUACGCUAAUACCGCAUACGACCUACGGGUGAAAGCAGGGGAUCUUCGGACCUUGCGCGAUUGGAUGAGCCGAUGUCGGAUUAGCUAGUUGGCGGGGUAAAGGCCCACCAAGGCGACGAUCCGUAGCUGGUCUGAGAGGAUGAUCAGCCAAACUGGAACUGAGACACGGUCCAGACUCCUACGGGAGGCAGCAGUGGGGAAUAUUGGACAAUGGGCGCAAGCCUGAUCCAGCCAUACCGCGUGGGUGAAGAAGGCCUUCGGGUUGUAAAGCCCUUUUGUUGGGAAAGAAAAGCAGCAGGUUAAUACCCCGCUGUUCUGACGGUACCCAAAGAAUAAGCACCGGCUAACUUCGUG